rnacentral:rRNA from 1 species
GUCUACAGCCAUGCCACCCUGAAUGUGCCUGAUCUCGUCUGAUCUCUGAGACUAAGCAGGGUCAGGCCUGGUUAGUACUUGAAUGGGAAACCACCUAGGAAGACCUAAUAAUAAUAAUAA